GUUGAAGAACGUAGCGAAAUGCGAUAAGUAAUGUGAAUUGCAGAAUUCAGUGAAUCAUCGAAUCUUUGAACGCACAUUGCGCCCGCCAGUAUUCUGGCGGGCAUGCCUGUUCGAGCGUCAUUUCAACCCUCAGGCCCCCAGUGCCUGGUGUUGGGGAUCGGCCCAGCCUUCCUGUAAGGCCGCCGGCCCCGAAAUCUAGUGGCGGUCUCGCUGUAGUCCUCCUCUGCGUAGUAGCACAACCUCGCAGUUGGAACGCGGCGGUGGCCAUGCCGUUAAACACCCCACUUCUGAAAGUUGACCUCGGAUCAGGUAGGAAUACCCGCUGAACUUAAGCAUAUCAAUAAGCGGAGGA
rnacentral:misc_RNA from 1 species